CAUGGAGUUUGAUCCUGGCUCAGAUUGAACGCUGGCGGAAUGCUUUACACAUGCAAGUCGAACGGUAGAGGGGGCAACCCCUUGAGAGUGGCGAACGGGUGAGUAAUAUAUCGGAACGUGCCCAGUCGUGGGGGAUAACGUAGUGAAAAUUACGCUAAUACCGCAUACGAUCUAUGGAUGAAAGCGGGGGAUCGCAAGACCUCGCGCGAUUGGAGCGGCCGAUAUCAGAUUAGGUAGUUGGUGAGGUAAAGGCUCACCAAGCCGACGAUCUGUAGCUGGUCUGAGAGGACGACCAGCCACACUGGGGACUGAGACGCGGCCCAGACUCCUACGGGAGCAGCAGUGGGGAAUUUUGGACAAUGGGCGCAAGCCUGAUCCCAGCAAUGCCGCGUGCAGGAUGAAGG
rnacentral:rRNA from 1 species